rnacentral:rRNA from 1 species
AGCUCCAAUAGCGUAUAUUAAUGUUGUUGCAGUUAAAAAGCUCGUAGUUGGAUUUCUGGAUUGAGCGGCUGGCCUUGCGCGCAAGCGUUCGUGUCGGCUUCGUUUCGGUCCAUCCUCAGGGGGACUUGCGCUGGCAUUAACGUGUCGGUGUUGGGACGCCUGUCGUUUACUGUGAACAAAUUAGAGUGUUCAAAGCAAGGUGUACUUGAAUACAUUAGCAUGGAAUAAUAAGAUAGGACUUUGGUGGUUCUUUUUGAUAUUUUGUUGGUUUGCACGCCAAAGUAAUGAUUAAUAGGAGCAGUUGGGGGUAUUCGUAUUCAAUUGUCAGAGGUGAAAUUCUUGGAUUUAUAGAAGACGAACUACUGCGAAAGCAUUUACCAAGGAUGUUUUCAUUA